GCUGAUUUAGUAUAAACAAGUACAUUGAUUUUUCGUGUCAAAGGGUCAUUAAAUUUGAGGUCAGAA
rnacentral:tRNA from 1 species